AUAGGAGACAUGAUUUGAAAAAGUUAUAAAUGAUAUUAAUAUUAAUAUAUGGAUACUCAUAAAUUUCAUAUAUAUGUAUAGAUAAUAUAGAUAUAUAUGGGAGACUAAUAUUAUAGAAAGGAUAAAUAAGUAAGGCAUAAGCCGAUCCUAGCUAUAAAUAGUAUAUAGAAAACUAUGUGAAUUGAAACAUCUUAGUAACAUAUGUAAAAACCAAUAGGGCUAACAGUAGUAUCGGUGAGAGAAUCUGUUGUUGUAUACAAGUAAUACCUUGUGGUAUGAAUAUAGUAGUAUCUACUACUAAUACAUAAACUAUAAUAUUAAGUUAAAAGUACUGUAAAGGAAAGAGUUAUAUAUAAACUUAUAUCUAUAAUAAUAUAAGAUAUAUAGAAUAUAUUAUGAAAUAUAUUAAUAAAGAGCAACUAUAGUAUAGUGUACCUCUUGUAUAAUGGGUCAGUGAGUUAUCCUUAUGAGCGAAAUAAAAAUUAUAUGUUACUAGAUAUAUUUAUAUUUAAAAUAAAUAUAAGAAGUUCAUAGGGAUAGACCCGAAAGCACAUGAUCUAUAUAUGUAUAGAUAUACUUUUAUCAUAAGGUAAAAGUAUGAUCAAAUAGGUAGAUGUAGCAAUAUCUUCUAAAGAUACGUGUAUAGUAGUGAAAGGCAAAACUGAUGUGCAGAUAGCUGGUUAUCUACGAAAUAUAUGUUAGUAUAGCCUUUAUAAACCCCCCCUUUCUACAUAGCUUCGCUAUGUAGAAAGGGGGGGGACGUAUUUCUUGGUAAAGCACUUAAUACCAUAUGGGAAUUUAUUUAUUUACUAUAUGUAUUAAACCUCUGAACAAGUAUAAUAUGAUAUAUAAAGAGUCAGACUUAUUGCGAUAAGGUAAUAGGUCGAAAAGGGAAUAACCUAGACUAUGAAAUGAAGGUCCCAAAUCCUCAUUAAGUGAAUACAAUCCUAUGGGUUGAGAAAUCCCCUCUAUACCUUAUUACAAGGUUUAUUUUGAUCAGACAAUUAGUCAGUGGGUUUGAUAAUAAUCACCUGUUAAAGAACAUGUAAAAAUGCACUAAUAGAACAUCUCAUCCCUUCGGAUGGGAUAUAUCAAAAGAUAGGAACAAAUAUACGGGUCUAAAUGUAGGAACCGAAUCAUAGAUAUAAUAUAUAUUUAUAUAUUAUAUAGUAGUAGAUUAUAUAGUAAUAAAAACUAUAAAGAGAAUGCUGACUUGAGUAACGAUAGGUAAUUUAGGAUUACCCCCACAUAAACAUAAGGUUUAACUAUAAAUUAACGGUAUCUAAGUAUAUAUAUGAAGAUAUAUAUAUGAUGAUUGAUAGUACAGGAAAAUGUAAUAACCGUACCGCAGUCCGACCCAGGUGUGUAAAAUAUAUAUAUUUAUUUAUAUAUAUAUCAUACUUAAUAUAUUUAUAUUAAGUAUGAUGAGUGGGAAUGGGUGAAGUAUCAUAAAUGAACUCGGCAAAUAAGGCAAGGCCUGAAUAGUACGACUGUUUACCAAAAACACAGCUUACUGCAAAUAGGAAACUAUCGGUAUAGUAAGUGAUAUCUGUCCGGUGUUAGCAAGAUAAAUUAUAAUUGGCUUAUUAACGACGGUCUUAUCAUGAGGAUCUGAAAGUAGCAAAAUUCAUUGGCAUAUAAUUGGUGUCCCGCAUGAAUGAUUAUACGAUACUAUAGCUGUAUCUAUGGUAUACCCAGUGAAAUAGUAAUCGCAGUGAAGAUACUGUGUAGUCAUAGAUUGACAAAAAGACCCUAUGCAGCUUUACUAUAUUCUUAUACUGUUAUACCCAUAAAUAUUUAAAUGUAAAAUAUCUCUUCUUAUUAAAGAAUAAAUAUUUGUUUAUAUCUUUAUGUGUAUAACUAACCUAAUAACCCCCUCCCACCAAUCUUCAUAACUUCCCAUAGCUUAGCUUUGCUAAUAUAUGUGUAGUAGGUUGGUGGGUAGAGGGAAGGCACCAUAUAAGAUGGUUAGUUUCGAUGGGGCGUCGGCAUCACAAAACAUAACUGAUGUGUCUAUAUGAUAUUUUUAUAUUCCCUUAUAUUUAUAGUUAUAUUUUAUAUUUCUAAAUAUAAGGCCUAUAUCUUUUUAUAAGAUUAUAAUAGUAUAAACAAGUACAGAUACACUAGCAGGCAACUAGUAUAUAUUCUGAUAUGUUUAAUAAGACAUUAGGAAUAAAUUAAUAAGGAUAAUAACAUAACUGUGCUAUGAUAAUGACACAUACUUGUGGAAUUAGUACUUAAGUAUAGUAUAUUGAACAGGCAAUAUCAUUAGAAUUGAGUGUCGAUUACGGAUUAAAGUUACGCUAGGGAUAACAGGGUAAUAUCGCUAGAGAGUUGAUAUCGUCAGCGAUGUUUGCCACCUCGAUGUCGUCUAGACUUAUCCUAUUGGUCGUAGAAGCUAAUAAGGGUACGACUGUUCGUCGUUUAAAAAGUUACUUGAGAUGGGUUAAUUACGACGUGAGUCAGUAAUGAUUUUAUCAUCUAUGACGUUAAUAGUAGUAUAUAAUUAUAUGUGUACGAAAGGAUUAUAUAAUAUAGUCCAAUGGUUAAGAGCAUCCGAUUCUAAGCUAAGACUAUAAAGGAUAAAUAUUGAUAGCUUAUAAAAUAUUAAGCCUUAUAUACUCACUAUAUAUACAUUAAAGAUAAUAAUGUAAUAGUAAUAUAUCUAUGUACCUUUCUUCGAAAGGAAGGAUAUAAUAAACUAAUAAAUUUAAUCAUAUAUAACAACAAAUCAUGUCAAAAAUUACAUAAUAUAUAAUAAUUACCCCUCCCUCCGGGAGGGGUGAUAACCCCCCCCCUUGUAGGGGGGUCAUUAAUUAUACUUUAAGAGUAUGAUUUUCAUAGAUUAUAGGUUAAUCCCCUUCCGCAAAGGAGGGGAUGAGUCUUAAGAAGGUGUAUUUCAGAUAAAUGGUAGCAUUUAUCCAUAAUCCCUCACUUUUCCCCCCCUGCAAUGCAGGGGGUGUUAG